rnacentral:rRNA from 1 species
AUUGAACGCUGGCGGCAUGCCUUACACAUGCAAGUCGAACGGCAGCACGGGAGCAAUCCUGGUGGCGAGUGGCGAACGGGUGAGUAAUAUAUCGGAACGUGCCCAGUGAUGGGGGAUAGCCCGGCGAAAGCCGGAUUAAUACCGCAUACGACCUACGGGUGAAAGCAGGGGAUCGCAAGACCUUGCGUCAUUGGAGCGGCCGAUAUCAGAUUAGCUUGNGGUGGGUAAAGCCUACCAAGGCGACGAUCUGUAGCUGGUCUGAGAGGACGACCAGCCACACUGGGACUGAGACACGGCCCAGACUCUACGGAGGCAGCAGUGGGGAAUUUUGGCAAUGGGCGCAAGCCUGAUCCAGCCAUGCCGCGUGCGGGAAGAAGGCC